rnacentral:rRNA from 1 species
UGGGGAAUAUUGCGCAAUGGGGGAAACCCUGACGCAGCGACGCCGCGUGGGUGAUGAAGGCCUUCGGGUCGUAAAGCCCUGUCGGAGGGGAAGAAGGACUCUCGUGCAAAUAGUGCGAGGGUUUGACGGUACCCUUAGAGGAAGCACCGGCUAACUCCGUGCCAGCAGCCGCGGUAAUACGGAGGGUGCAAGCGUUGCUCGGAAUUACUGGGCGUAAAGGGCGUGUAGGCGGUUUCGUAUGUCUGGCGUGAAAGCCCCGGGCUCACCUCGGGAAGUGCGUCGGAAACUGCGAGACUAGAGUCCCGGAGAGGGAGGUGGAAUUCCAGGUGUAGCGGUGAAAUGCGUAGAUAUCUGGAAGAACACCGGUGGCGAAGGCGGCCUCCUGGACGGUGACUGACGCUGAGACGCGAAAGCGUGGGGAGCAAACAG